UUCCUGCAGGCAGUGAGGCAGACGGGAGAAAACAGAGGAUCUCAGCCUGGGAAAGCCAGAAGCUCAAGUCCCUAAAUGCAAGGAUCCUCUCGCCCUUCAUAAGAAACCCUCAAUUUCCUUUUAUAUGCAGAAUCUACUGAUUCCGGCAGCCCCUGUUUUCCUUGUUGACUUGCUUUUCUGUUUGUCACUGAGGCUGCCAUCAUAAGCAAGAUUAGACCUUAAGAUAGUGUGCCCCAAGGCACACUGGGAAAACUCCCUGUGGGUAAUGAGGUGCUGGCUUCCUUAGAACCAGCUUUAUGAUUUGGGGCAAGCCACAAAAAAAUCUGGGGCAAGAUUUUUGAAUCUCUUCUUCUCAUCUCUGUCUACUGGAUGAAGUCCCCCCAAGUAUUCCUGUCAGUGUGAAAGGGAGUCGGGGCCAGGAGACCGCUGCCAGAGUCACAGGCAGAAGGUGAGGCCCAGGCGUCAGGCUGAAGGGACCUGGAAUGUUCCUCAGCAGAGCCCUAGUGCUUGGCUCCCAGGUCCAAAUCUUACAGAGAAGAGCUGGGGCAGAGAGAAAACUAAGGCGAGAGCGAGCUGGGUGGCUCCUGCCUCCUAUCCCAAAACAGGAAGGGCCAGGCACUAAAGAAUGGGCCUGCAGAAACUGGUGACAGGAGUCCCCCCGGAUGGGAAGGUGCAGGCUUUAUUACUGUAAAGUUGCCAGUUAGCUCACAUACUUGGUGAUCUUGGUUUGGAACUCAUUUGAGAGCUAUUCUUAAUAACGAACUCUUAAAAUACAUUGUCAGAGUCAUUUUAUCUACAACUUUUCAGGGACACACCUCUUUCAUAAGGCUGGAUAACUGCAAUACUUUCUGAAGUCAAGAAUAAUACGCCUUUGGAACAUCUAUUUACUUGUGACUUCCGGGAGGACCAUAACUGCAAACUCACUGGAAUUGCUCGUCUUUCUUCCCCACCCUGCCUUCUUUCCCUACAAAAAUUUCUACCUGUGCCAUUUAUUACUAAUCUCAACCUCCAUGCAUAUAUGCAUGCUAAUAUAUUUGUUUUUCCGAACUAGCCUCAGCUAACGGACAUAACUAAUAACAACCUAAUAACAAUACCCAACCUCUCACUUGUACCCUAGAGAAGCAGAUGUUGACCAUUUCAAGGGAAGGAGUGCAAGUAACUUCCUAGUCAGGUGUCUGAACGUAGGACAGAGGUCUCUGUGUGACCUCACAAAGCUAUGGAACUUUCUGGAAAGAAAAACCUUCCAGGCCAAAGUAAACUCACCGGGGUUGGCUAGGCGACUGCUGGUCGGGCCCAGGAUCUGAUAUGGAUCUGAGGAAGCAAAAAAGGAAAUUAGCUUCACUGUUAUUAAAAAUAUAAAAACAACAGCAUUAAUAAUAAGAAUACCCCCGGGGUUUAUACUUUUAUUUCAGUAUCAUAGAAAAAACUGAUUUCAGAAAACUUUACUACUUUUAUAUGCAGGCCUCAAAGAUCUGGGGCAUAGUUAUAGUUUUCACCCCCAUAAUUACAGAAACAUAGGAUACCAGCAGUAUCUUUUUUUUUUUAUUUUCAUAUUUGGUGUCUAACAUUUGUCAUUACCGGCAACAGAAUCGUGAAACCAUAUGGAAAGAAGCUGGCUAAUACUCAGUCCUAAUGAAUAAGGGCCUGCUACUUGUAAUUCACAGAGCGAUUACAGGGAGUCAAAUACAGACCCUCUCGGAAAGAGAAAACCGAAGACACACACUGUCUAUUGUCUCAGCCCUCCUCAGUUGACCACAGAGAACCAAUGGUUGGAUAAGGAGCAAAGGAGAGAUUACCAAUCACGGACAGGUGCCCACAGAGCGUGUGCAGUGCCGGGAAGCAGAAGGAAAGGCUUCCACCCUAUCUGAAAGCUAUGUUAUAUCCCUUCCGAAGACCCGAUUAUGGCCACAGCUAUAAUUACCAUCGACUUAUCAACUUUGCCUCCUGUUCUUUUAUGGCACCUCCAGGAACACAGCAAGCACACAAAGGUUACAGAAUGCAUGGGGAAACAGCUCACUGCAAUUAGAAGAACUCUGGGUUGGGGUUCAGAACUCUGUCAUUUGCUUCCCAUCUCUGCUGGUGACCAGCUGCAAGGGACUUAAUCUCUCUGAAUCUCAGUUAACCUAUCUGUAAAAGUGAAUCCAUCAACUGGGUCCAUCCAUCUGUCAAUGAUAUUUACCAAACAUCCUGGAAAAGAGGACGUAGGACCAAACUCACAAUUCGACACUACGAGGUUAAGAGUGCACCGAUUUGGAGUUCCCCACACCAAUCUUAACAGCAUGGAACGGUGCCGUUCCUGGGACUGAAGAAAAUGCAUGAGAGAACAGACUCACCUUCUUUGACACUCAGUCGUGAGGAUUGGUCUGUGUGGGAGGUCGUGUUAUAGGCCAACAGUGAACCUGUAAGGCAAAGCAAAAGCCUGUUAUAACAAGGGUAGAUCAGGAGUAGAAGAUGGGAGGAGAAGGGAGUCAGGAGGGGAAUAGAUCCGGGUAGGUAAGAGAGACAGAUGGCUCCUUGAGAGAAAGAGUUCAUGGAAUCCAUCCUGCCUCCUGCGGGGAAUGUGUUUGAUUCCUGGAGCUCCGGCCAGAGCUAGUUAGGACAGAAUACCCGUGAGUGGGACACGCACAGCCCUCCCCAGCAGCCAUGUUUACGGUUCUGAAGCUCCUGGGUGUCCACACCCCAUCAUGGCAGGAGCACAGGACUGAGACUCUCCCUGUGCGGCCGUAGGGAAGUCUAGACUUUGAUUUCUGCAGCAGCAAAACGAAGGGGUUAAACUACAGGAGGAGUUGGCAAGCUUUUUCUAUAAAGACCAGAUAGUAAAUAUUUUAGGCUUUGUGGGCUAACUGCAGUCUCUGCUGUACAUUCUUCUUUGUUUUUGUUUUGUUUUGUCUUGUUUUGUUUUGUCCAUGGGCCAGAGUUGGACCGAUCUGGCCUGCAGUUUGCAGUUUUGCCACACCCUGGAGAAGCGGCUAUACAGUUCCUGCGUGCUAUGGUAUCCGACACCGCAAUGACAUACAAUGACCCCUUUAUAAAAGAGCUUGCUGAGCGUUUGUCUUGUCUUCUGGACCUGGAGUUGCGGACGGGUUCUGCUGCAAUAAGAAAUAAUCCUCCAUGACUGGAAGGAGGUUAAGAAAUAGAACCGAGCGUUCCAAGGGAAUAGAAAAAAAGUCUCAGGAGUAAGACCAAGAAUGUCUGCCUUUCUGUCCCCGACAUUCUCUCCCUCAGGCUGAAACCUCACGGCUGGAGCAAAUAAAGAAAAAUGAUGGUCUCAGAGGAGCAAACUGCCUGAGUCAUUAGUGCAGAUUUAGCUGAGAGCACGAAGCUUAGAUAAACCACAUUUAUUAAAUUUUCUCCUUGGUGAAAGUUCUUCUUUGGGCACAUAUGAAUUCCACAGGAAACUCCCAGAAAGCCAAGAGAAAGGGUCGUUUGACCUCUGCAAAGCUUGCAUGAAAUACAUAUUUCAUGGUAACCUAGGAAAAGGAUUUUGCCCUGAAGACCGUUCCUGGUUCAAGUUUCAGUCCUGGAAGGAGGGGCUGGUUGGGGGGGCAUCUGGCCUCCCUCCCAAGGGACUGACAUCCUUUCUCUUCUCCGAUUUUUACUUGACAAGUUCUUCAGGCUACAGGGGGUGGCACGGCACACCCUUUUCUUAUGGGAAUUUGUUCUGAUACAAGAAGGUCCUUCCUGGAGCCUCGUCUCUCGCUCUGUUGCUUUGGGUUUUUUUUCUCCUGCUUUGAGGCUCCAUCUGUGUAGAGCUAAGGUGAGCUCCUAAUCUUUCCUGACACCGUCCUGUCGUCCUGUUGGAGUAAACAGGCUGUGAUAGGAGGAGGGAAGGCAACUCUCCUGAAAGCAGUAUGCAGCGGACGCUUUAUAUCUAUUCUCUCCUUUUAUCCCUAACAUGAGCCAGGCAAAGCCAGUGUCACGUUCUUCUCCUUUUACGGAUCAGCAUUGGGAGAAGUCAAGUCAUUUGCUCAGGGUCACACAGCCACAAAGCCCAGGAAGCCGGGAUUCCCAUUCUGGUUUAUCUGCAAAACCUGUUCUCAGUCCAGCAGACCCUGCAGCCUUCAGGCUAAAUCUAAGGAACAGACAAAACUCACCUAUGGCGUCGGGAAUCAAGACAGUGGUUACCUUGCUAGGGAGGAGUGGGGGACAGAGAGAGGGCGCAAGGGGGCUUCUGGUCUACUCCUUGACCUGGGGGGUGAUUACACAAGUGAGUGGAGGGGUGUCUGGGUGGCUCAGCCGGUUAAGCUUCCGGUUCUUGGUUUCGGCUCAGGUCAUGAUCUCACGGUUCGUGAGUUCGAGCCCUGCAUCAGGCUCUGCACUGACAGUGUGGAGCCUGC